rnacentral:rRNA from 1 species
UGGGGAAUAUUGCACAAUGGGCGAAAGCCUGAUGCAGCAACGCCGCGUGAGUGAUGAAGGCCUUCGGGUUGUAAAGCUCUGUCUUUUGGGACGAUAAUGACGGUACCAAAGGAGGAAGCCACGGCUAACUACGUGCCAGCAGCCGCGGUAAUACGUAGGUGGCAAGCGUUGUCCGGAUUUACUGGGCGUAAAGGAUGCGUAGGCGGAUUUUUAAGUGAGAUGUGAAAUACCCGGGCUUAACUUGGGUGCUGCGUUUCAAACUGGGAAUCUAGAGUGCGGGAGAGGAGAAUGGAAUUCCUAGUGUAGCGGUGAAAUGCGUAGAGAUUAGGAAGAACACCAGUGGCGAAGGCGAUUCUCUGGACCGUAACUGACGCUGAGGCAUGAAAGCGUGGGUAGCAAACAGGAUUAGAUACCCUGGUAGUCCACGCCGUAAACGAUGAGUACUAGGUGUAGGAGGUAUCGACCCCUUCUGUGCCGCAGUUAACACAAUAAGUACUCCGCCUGGGAAGUACGAUCGCAAGAUUAAAACUUAAAUGAAUUGACGGGGUCAUAGC